rnacentral:rRNA from 1 species
GUGUCAGCCGCCGCGGUAACACGUAGGGCGCAAGCGUUGUCCGGAAUCAUUGGGCGUAAAGAGCUCGUAGGCGGUUUGUCGCGUCUGCUGUGAAAUCCCGGGGCUUAACCCCGGGCGUGCAGUGGAUACGGGCAGGCUGGAGGCAGGCAGGGGAGAACGGAAUUCCCGGUGUAGCGGUGAAAUGCGCAGAUAUCGGGAGGAACACCGGUGGCGAAGGCGGUUCUCUGGGCCUGUUCUGACGCUGAGGAGCGAAAGCGUGGGGAGCGAACAGGAUUAGAUACCCCCGUAGUCC